AUACUGCAAGUCGAGCGAAAGAAGGGAGCUUGCUCCCGGAUGUUAGCGGCGGACGGGUGAGUAACACGUGGGUAACCUGCCUGUAAGACUGGGAUAACUCCGGGAAACCGGAGCUAAUACCGGAUAGUUCCUUGAACCGCAUGGUUCAAGGAUGAAAGACGGUUUCGGCUGUCACUUACAGAUGGACCCGCGGCGCAUUAGCUAGUUGGUGGGGUAAUGGCUCACCAAGGCGACGAUGCGUAGCCGACCUGAGAGGGUGAUCGGCCACACUGGGACUGAGACACGGCCCAGACUCCUACGGGAGGCAGCAGUAGGGAAUCUUCCGCAAUGGACGAAAGUCUGACGGAGCAACGCCGCGUGAGUGAUGAAGGUUUUCGGAUCGUAAAGCUCUGUUGUUAGGGAAGAACAAGUGCGAGAGUAACUGCUCGCACCUUGACGGUACCUAACCAGAAAGCCACGGCUAACUACGUGCCAGCAGCCGCGGUAAUACGUAGGUGGCAAGCGUUGUCCGGAAUUAUUGGGCGUAAAGGGCUCGCAGGCGGUUUCUUAAGUCUGAUGUGAAAGCCCCCGGCUCAACCGGGGAGGGUCAUUGGAAACUGGGAAACUUGAGUGC
rnacentral:rRNA from 1 species